rnacentral:rRNA from 1 species
AGUGAACGCUGGCGGUAGGCCUAACACAUGCAAGUCGAACGGCAGCACAGUAAGAGCUUGCUCUUACGGGUGGCGAGUGGCAGACGGGUGAGGAAUACAUCGGAAUCUACUUUUUCGUGGGGGAUAACGUCGGGAAACUUACGCUAAUACCGCAUACGACCUACGGGUGAAAGCAGGGGAUCUUCGGACCUUGCGCGACUGAAUGAGCCGAUGUCGGAUUAGCUAGUUGUCGGGGUAAAGGCCUACCAAGGCGACGAUCCGUAGCUGGUCUGAGAGGAUGAUCAGCCACACUGGAGCUGAGACACGGUCCAGACUCCUACGGGAGGCAGCAGUGGGGAAUAUUGGACAAUGGGCGCAAGCCUGAUCCAGCCAUACCGCGUGGGUGAAGAAGGCCUUCGGGUUGUAGAGCCCUUUUGUUGGGAAAGAAAAGCAGCAGGUUAAUACCCCGCUGUUCUGACGGUACCCAAAGAAUAAGCACCGGCUAACUUCGUG